GGCCGGAUGGUCUAGGGGUAUCAUUCUCGCUUCGGGUGCGAGACGUCCCAGGUUCGAAUCCCGGUUCGUCCC
rnacentral:tRNA from 1 species